ACGGCUAUAAAAGGCGACGUCUUAGACGGCAGUAUCAGUUUUUUGCCCCUGUAUUGAAGCUAUCAUAGCAAUGAGCUUGUGCGUAAAAGUGUUAUGCGGGCUAUUGGUAAUGAUGCUAACGCAGCAACUGACUAUAAGCUUGCCGAAUGGUGGAGAACCUAAUAACCGAUGCGGCCAAACUUGUAUCGCAAAUAGGUUAAAUUGUCCAGAUGGCUGUACCUGCGUGAUCAGAAACCACAAUUCAACCGGCGUCUGUGUCGACAACAGCUUUCCAGAUUGGAAUGAGAGCGAUUCUAGACCACCGGAGUUUUAACACAUUCACCAGUACUGUAAUAAGCACCCACAAUAAAUGGUUUGCAACUGAAUGCUUCUCAUUAUUAA
rnacentral:lncRNA from 1 species